rnacentral:rRNA from 1 species
GACGAACGCUGGCGGCGUGCUUAACACAUGCAAGUCGAACGGAAAGGCCCUGCUUUUGUGGGGUGCUCGAGUGGCGAACGGGUGAGUAACACGUGAGUAACCUGCCCUUGACUUUGGGAUAACUUCAGGAAACUGGGGCUAAUACCGGAUAGGAGCUCCUGCUGCAUGGUGGGGGUUGGAAAGUUUCGGCGGUUGGGGAUGGACUCGCGGCUUAUCAGCUUGUUGGUGGGGUAGUGGCUUACCAAGGCUUUGACGGGUAGCCGGCCUGAGAGGGUGACCGGCCAUAUUGGGCCUGAGGUACGGCCCAGACUCCUACGGGAGGCAGCAGUGGGGAAUAUUGCACAAUGGGCGGAAGCCUAAUGCAGCAACGCCGCGUGCGGGAUGACGGCCUUCGGGUUGUAAACCGCUUUCGCAUGUGACGAAGCGUGAGUGACGGUAAUGGGUAAAGAAGCACCGGAUAACUACGUG